rnacentral:rRNA from 1 species
AGCGAACGCUGGCGGCAGGCUUAACACAUGCCAGUCGAGCGCCCCGCCAGGGGAGCUGCAUACGGGAGAGUAACACGUGGGAACAUACCUUUUGGUUCGGAACAACUGAGUGAAACUUCAGCUAAUACCGGAUAAGCCCUUACGGGGAAAGAUUUAUCGCCGAACGAUUGGCCCGCGUCUGAUUAGCUAGUUGGUUAGGUAACGGCUCACCAAGGCGACGAUCAGUAGCUGGUCUGAGAGGAUGAUCAGCCUCACUGGGACUGAGACACGGCCCAGACUCCUACGGGAGGCAGCAGUGGGGAAUAGUGGACAAUGGGGGCAACGCUGAUCCAGCCAUGCCGCGUGAGUGAUGAAGGCCUUAGGGUUGUAAAGCUCUUUUGCCCGGGAAGAUAAUGACGGUACCGGGAGAAUAAGCCCCGGCUAACUUCGUG